rnacentral:rRNA from 1 species
UGGGGAAUAUUGGGCAAUGGGCGCAAGCCUGACCCAGCAACGCCGCGUGAAGGAAGAAGGCUUUCGGGUUGUAAACUUCUUUUAUUGAGGACGAAACAAAUGACGGUACUCGAUGAAUAAGCCACGGCUAACUACGUGCC